UACGGAGGGUGCGAGCGUUGUCCGGAAUCACUGGGCGUAAAGGGUGCGUAGGCGGCUUUUUAAGUUUGGUGUGAAAUCUCCCGGCUUAACUGGGAGGGUGCGCUAUAGACUGCGGGGCUCGAGUGUGGGAGAGGAAAGUGGAAUUCCUGGUGUAGCGGUGAAAUGCGUAGAUAUCAGGAGGAACACCGGUGGUGUAAACGGCUUUCUGGACCAUAACUGACGCUGAGGCACGAAAGCGUGGGUAGCAAACAGG
rnacentral:rRNA from 1 species